GCGGACGUGGCGAAACUGGUAGACGCAAGGGACUUAAAAUCCCUCGGCCGCGAGGCUGUACGGGUUCGAUUCCCGUCGUCCGCACCA
rnacentral:tRNA from 2 species